rnacentral:rRNA from 1 species
GAUGAACGCUGACAGAAUGCUUAACACAUGCAAGUCUUUGGCGAAGCUGUGCUUGCACAGCCUAGCCAAGGCGGACGGGUGAGUAACGCGUAAGGAACUUGCCCUGCAGUCAGGGAUAACAGACGGAAACGACUGAUAAGACCUGGUAAAGUCAGGCGGACUCAUGUCCAGCCUGAUGAAAAGAGAUGCUGCAGGAGAGCCUUGCGUCCUAUUAGCUUGUUGGUGGGGUAACGGCCCACCAAGGCGAUGAUAGGUAGCCGGCCUGAGAGGGUGGACGGCCACAAGGGGACUGAGAUACGGCCCUUACCCCUACGGGAGGCAGCAGUGGGGAAUAUUGGACAAUGGGGGCAACCCUGAUCCAGCAAUUCUGUGUGCACGAUGAAGGUUUUCGGAUUGUAAAGUGCUUUCAGCAGGGAAGAAAAAAAUGACGGUACCUGCAGAAGAAGCGACGGCUAAAUACGUG